GGAUUUUCUAGAGCUUUUCGUACUUAUACUAAAUGUUUCAUCAUUCAUUUACCAGUCUUUCAUAUCAACUAAUCAAAGCAAUGACAUUAAAUACUUAUGAACUCACCAGCUUAAAUGCUGAUCUACUCUUUCAAAAUAACUUGUAUUCUCAGGUUACAAAUAGACAGGUGUCGAUACAAGGUUCAGAGAAGACGGAGCAGUCAAGACUCGUUUUUUUUUUUUUUUUGAUAAGUUAUUAUCAUAUCUUGUACAAUGAAAGAAAACACUUGUAACUAAAAUUAUACUAUUGAUGCAAUGGAUGAUGUUGUUGCUUGUUUACUACUUUACAUUUGUUGUGAUGCAUACAUGACGUCCUCCGCCCCAGAACGUUUCCGCCGUUCUUGGUUUUGGGGUGUGACAGAUUGGUAUCAGAGCAUUGUUUAUAGUGAAUUGAGUAUAUCAACCCAUAAAAGAUAUACUAACUAUAAAUACAAUGGGAUUAAAAAUACUCUGAUUUAGAGUUUAUACUUUAAAUAAUAAAAUAUUUAAGUAAGUAUACGUGCUGCAUUCAUACUAAAAUCAGUGUCACUAGGACAGUACAAAAGAAUUACGAUUGUUGGGCAACACAAGUGGGCUUAGAGACAUAUGGUCAAAACUGGGAAGAUAUAGCCUGAUCGCCUAUAUUAUCCGAGGGUUGACUAGCAUGUGCCUAAGUUUAAGUGUGUAGUCGCAACAAUGCUAAAAUCUUACCAACCCUACCACAAUGAGAACAAUAGAACAUAACAUAAAAAUUAAAAUACUAUAGGAGUAUUUGGUGUUACUAUAAGUACUUUAUACUUGAGAAUUAAAACGGGAUCCUCAUUACUAAGUUGAUAGUUGCUAAGUGGAUACACUAAGGCUACAUGUAAUUAGGAUGUUAUAGACUUAGAAUCAGUGAUAAUUUUGCCUUACCCCUAUUCUGUGUGAAUUUGGAAAUAAGGUCACUUAUUCGAAGGUCUAUCCUGUUUAGAUUACACAUAGCUGGUAUGCACUUCACAAAUAGUGAUGUAACUAAUGAGGGUUUUCUAAAUAAUUAUCUAGAUAGUUCGUCUAAUAAUUAUCCACUUACCCUAAAUUCUCGCAUAGAAAUCAUAGUUGGGCUCCAUCCCCUUGACAACCAGUAUCUUCCGAAUGAAGUCAUAGCUGGUUGGUUUGGAGAAGAACCAGAGAAUGAUCAUCCUAUCCCUUUGGAUGAUCAUCAUGAUGAAAACCUUUCAGCCGAUGCUAAUUCCGAACUAGAGGUUGAGAACCUACCUCGAGCAACUCCCUUUCCAAUUCCUAACCCUCGUCCAGCUCUUCAUGGCCCGACGCCUGAUUCGGUGGAAUGCUUGGAAACAUGAAGCCAAGAACAAGAUCAGCCCAUGCCAUUUAUUGGCGACCGAAACUUUUACGACCUGAGCAAUGGGGGCUCAGCAGGUAGAAUCUUGCCAAUCAUGGUCCGCAGAGUGGCCCAAAAUGAGAUUCAAGGCAGGACAGCCCAACAUCAGAUUGCCGAAGUUGUCACCGAUGCAAGAAUGAAUACCCUCCACACCACUCAUCUAGAAGAUGCUCACAAGAGAUCAGAAAGAAACCAUGAGAACCUGCUGCAAACACUAGCUGAAAACCCGAGCCAAAGUCAUAGAGCUCCAAGUACGCCAGAGGGUGUAAUAGAGACACCUACUUGACAUGGAACGUCAAUUGGUUGAACUAAGAAUUCACCAGAGGAAUUACCGUCACCAGUAGUAGACGCUUUACUUUAUUUCCCUUACAAAAAGAGGAAUCGUAUUCUUCUGUCUAUGCCUGAUGUGGCAUUUUCUAUGAAAUUAUCUUGUACCGUAAGUACUUUAGUUAGGUCUUUAUACUGUCAGGAACUAUCUCCUGUGUAUAUGAUGUAAGACCUUUACAAGGCCAUUUUCCUGAACCUUUACGCCGUAAAUAUCCAAGAUAUUGACCGCCGGCUAACUUUUGUGUCAUUUCCAUCAUUCAAGUACUCUUAUCAUACUCUCAUUGGAGUCUAUCUGAAACCUGCUUUAGUUAAGUCAUUGGACCAUAGCAAGUUAGAUACGGAGACAUUUCCAAGUCUCUUUCAGUGGUUGGAUUUUAUUAUUCACCAAUCCACGAUACCUCAACUUGUACAACAAACAGUGACAUUCCAUACCACCACCAUCCCUACUACCUCAGUGCCAACAAGACCAUAUGUUGGAAACCUGCCAAAAUGCACCAAGUGUAGCUUUCAUCACAAAGGAAAGUGCAGGGAAAUGCAUUGCAAGAACUAUAAUGAAAAAGGGGCAUACCACAAAGUUCUGUAGGGUGCCGGCUCAACAGACCAACCAGAACACAAAAGCUGGGAUGAGUCGGACUUGCUACAGAUGUGGAGAAGUAGGGCAUUUCAUAAAGGAGUUCCCGGAGACUAAAAACAAAGAUGUCAAGAGCAUCGGAAGUGUUUUAGCAACAGAGCGUGGGAAAGCAGUAAUAGACCCCGCUGAGAUUCCGGUACGUUCAUUCCCGAUAGCACAUAUGCAUGGAUACUAUAUAAUAGCAACGCGGAGAGGAGUAUUGUGAGUCGUAGAUUUAAUCAAUUUCUCAACCAAAAACCUCAAAAACUUAAACGAAAUAUUUACAGUAGAAUUGGAAUAAUCAAAAGCACUAGAGACGUGUACAUAGGGUGCACUCUAACACUAAAUCAACCAAUUCAUUCAAAUCAUCCUAAAACCGGUCACAAUAAAAAUUUACGACAUUUUCAUUUUAACAACGUAUUAGUUAGUUUCCUCACCAUACCGAUAUCAUAUAUUACGAAAAGUCCAUUCGCCUAAACCCAUCGAGUAAUAGAACCCUCGUUGUCUAUAACGACAAACCGGACACAAUCCCCCGACUCACCUUUUGCAACAAGACUCAGAAGUACCUACACAGGAGGCACCACGCCGUCCUAGCCUGUGCUGUGGAUAAGAAACAAGAAGAGAAAGACAUCAUGGAUGUUGAAAAAGCCCGUAACCUUCUCGAUAUAUUCCGAGAAGAUCUCCUGGGAAUACCAUCCAUACGGUAACCCGAGUUCAAAAAUCAACCUAAGUGUAGUAGUUGCGGAAAAGGGUUGUGGUAAAUGCCAUCUCACCCAAGUUAAUCACCCCACUCAAGUAGAGACUAUGGACCCAUACUAGUGAAUCUAUGAUUACUAAGUGUAUAUAUUGGAGCCCUAUAUAAUUAAGAUUCUACGGACUUAGGGUUGGUAAUUCCGCUUUAAAUCCUUUUCCUUGUUUGGAUGUGGGCUUAGAAUAGAAUCACCGAUUCGACUGUCUUUUCAAUCUUAAUUAUAUACGACUUAUAAACACAAAGAGAUGAUAGAUGAAUCAGUUAUGAGUCAUACCAUGAACUCCAUGACAAGUUACCCAGGACAGUGGAUGGACAUGCUACCACUUGAGCGAUCGUAGACAAAUCAACCAAACCCACACACUUUCUACCGACCAAGGAUACAAAGAAAAAUAGAAAAGCUAACAGGAGCAUAUACAAAGAAAAUUGCGAGACUGCAUAGUAUACCACUAUCUAUCAUUUUGGAUAAGGGACAGGCGAUUCGCCUCGUGUUUUUAAUAGUCGUUAAAGAAGUCCUUUUUAUCACCCUCAAACUGAAAGACAAAGAGGAAGAACCAUUCAUCGAAUCCUUAUACAACAUCAACUAUUACAUUAACAUCAAGGUCACGUCAUUCGAAGCUCUCUGCAGAAGCAAGUGUAGAUCACCUCUUUGAUGGGAUGAGGUAGGUGACACACAAAUAGCUAACAGGCAAGUUCCUAACAACACUUUCACCAGCCCCCAGAUCAUACGAGAAACUACAGAGAAGAUUGUUCAAACCCGUGAAUGAUUGAAGGCAUCCCAGGAUCGGAAGAAGAGCUUGUCUGAUGAGACUCUUGUUAUUCCACUGGAUGAAAUUGAAAUCAACGGGAGUCUAAACUUCAUCGAAGAACCGGUGGAAAUCAUGGAUCAGGAGGUCAAAAGGACGAAACAAAGCCGCAUACCCAUAGUGAAGGCCCGUUGGAACGCCAAGCGAGGACCUGAAUUCACUAGGGAACGCGCGAAUCAAAAAAAAAAAAAUAAAAAAAAGAAACACCCCCAAUUGUUUAGUGAUAUCCCGUCUACAAGUUGAAUUUCGGGGCGAAAUUCUUUUAACGGGGGGAGAAUGUAACAAUUGGUAAAAAUAGGAACGAUCGUACGAUGCUAUCUUUUGAUUAUUAAGCAAUAUGAGUAUUUUAUUAAGAAUGGUUGAAGGAAUUUAACCUCUUUUAUUUAAAUAAGUUAUUGUGAAAUAUAAAACAAGUAACUAUUGAUAAAUUUCGUUAUGAUGUAUGACUACGAACCAUCACCGGUUUGUGAAAUUAGCAUAUAACAUCAUUUAAACGCAACAAACUUAAUUUUUGUAUCAACAUGUCUCUAUUUGAUAAGUAAGUUAGGUUCUAUGUAAAACGUUUGCUUAAUAGAUGUGAAGGAUCUAAAUUUGACAAAUAUACGAACCAAAGUGACAAAACGUGUUUAACGAUAUGGUUAACCGGUUAAAUGUCACGAAAUUAUACAUUGCUCAAUAAAUUUUAUAUUUAAAUAAAUUAAAAUAUAAAAUGAAUUAUUAUAAGGUAUAAUUAAAAUGUAUUUAAGUGUUUUUGAAUAAAAAGAAUAAAACAUAAACAUUAAAGUUCAAAUACACAAAAACUACAUUGUUAUUUUAUACUAAGUAUACAUGUAUGUAUUUGUAUAUAUGUAUUAUUAUCUAGUGAAUGACUAGUUAUAAGUCAUGAAUUAAAAUGAUUUCAUGUAAGUUUUAUGAUGUCUAAAUCAAUUAAGAUAAGAGAAUUGGUGGAGAUAAGUGCCAACUUAACUAAUAAGUGCUUAAUCACUUAAGACAUUUUACUAAGAAUGCUUAUUAAUCCCUCUUCUAAUUUUCGAGAUUAAGACCUUCCCUCUCCUUAACUAGAACUCCUAACUAACUAAAUAACUAGUAGUUAGUUAGUUAACUAACUCUAUCUCUAAACAACCACCCAAGCAAGUGGCUAGACAAGAUCACAUCACUUAAACUCACAUCCCAUCACAAGCUAGUCUAGGUUUUGUCCCCUUAUCCUCUUCCACCCUUUCCUCCUUCAUAACCACGAAAUUUCCUCUUCAUUUUACCCUCAUUUGACCAGCCAAUACUCCAAGUAAUUACUCUCAACCUUCAUCUCAUUUUCAAGCACAAGAACUUCCUUCCAAAGCCAUCAAAACCAUGAACUAAAGGGUUGCUGUCCCUUUUGUGUUUCAGCCACCAUUUCACCCAUCUACACCUUCCUUUUGCUUGAUAUUUUUACCACCAAAUACCCCUGGAAGUUACUUGUUUUGAUACUCAAAAUUAUUGAUUCAAAACAGUGAGUAAACUACCCUUUUUCUUGCACUUUUGCUGUGAAAUUUUCGUGACAGCAACAUAGCCAAAAGAGUGGCUGUUUUGGAGCAUCAAACCAACAACCAAAAGUUCAUCUUCAACUUUCCAUUCUUCAAGUAUUCACAUAAGGUGAGUUCAUACCCCUACAUUUUCAUGUUUUAUUCAAGUUUUAAGGGGGGGAAUACAAGUUAGAACACUAAACAUAACUUAAAUUUAAAUGACAGCUUUCUACAGAAAAGUUGAGUCCUGUUCACGGACUGUUUUGACCAUCUUAAACUUAAUAUCUUUCAAAACUGUACAAUAUGCAAAUAGUUCAAGUUUAUACCUUUCUAAUGACUACUCGCACGCGUUCAUACGAUUUUUCUACAAUUUAUGGCGAUUUUUAUAAAACUGCCUGUCAUUUCAGAAGUGAUUUCGGACCAGUCUGUGAAGAUGUUCAUUUUCACACUAGUUUGAGACCACUAAAAAUCAUAAUAAAAAUUAGGAACAAAGUAGACUCAUUUUAUAAACUCUCAGAGGUGACGGAUUCAGUUUUUGACUUACGAGGAUUUUUCUAUGAGUUUUCUAAAAACAGGGACAGUAAAGGGCAAAACUGUCAAAAGUGGUUUAUACAUUUAUUAACACCUUCUAACAUUUUUUAGCAAUGUUUAUACAUUAAGGAAGUUAAAACACAAUCAUUUAAAUAUGUUUAAUUACCAUUUUUACAAAAGUGAUAAGUACAAAAAGGUCUUUAGUAUCAAACUUAAGGAUUAUUUCAUGCAAAGUUUCUAAUAAAAACGUAAGAAUAUGAACAACAAUUACGAAACAUACCAAAUCAUCUUUUAAAAUUUAUACAUAUAUAUAACCAUAUACAUAUAUAUGUUUUGUUUACAAAACUUCUUUAUGCUUUUAUAUUAUAAAUUGCAUGCCUCUAUAUGUAUAGUUAUAUAAGAAAUGUUUAAAAGACUUAGAAAGGCUAUCCACCCUGUUUCCUUUUCCUCGAUUUGGAUGUGGUCUGGUGGGAUAUCGGGUACUCCUCCGAAGGUCGUUUAAAUAUUAGUUAUAUAUCAUGUAUACAUAUAUGGUCAUAAAUGUUCCACCAGUUAAUUUAGUUUCGAUACUCCUGGGUAGCAAAGGUGUAUAAACCUACUUGGACACUCAUCAAUUACAUUCUAGUAAACUAUUAUAGGAAUAGUUUAGAGUAAACAAAACAUUUUCACUACUACAAGAAAUUACACCAGAGUCAGUUCAUUCAUGAGUCCAGACUACAUGUUAUAUGAAGGAAUACUUUUACAUGAAUACUUAUACAUGAAUACUUUUACAUAAACAUUAUAUGGCAAAUUACUACUACAUGUUAUAUGAAGGAAUACUCUUACCUGAAUACUUUUACAUGAAUACUUAUACAUGAAUACUUUUACAUAGACAUCAUAUGGCAAUUUAAUAUUACAUGUUAUAUGUCUAGAUACGGUUAUAUUGUUCGCCUUUCUAUCUUUACCUUGUGAUUCAAUCACAUCAUCGACGAGGUAGACUGGGACUUUAUCUCCUAGUACCACAUCAUACUUUGAGGGACUAACCAUUCCGAUAACCACUGCUAGCUACAGAGGUAAAUGAACAAUCUACGGAUGUUCUAGGUUGAUACCAUCGUGGGUAUACAGAAGGGACUAACUAUUCCUAAACCCGGCUGUUAGCAACAGAGGUAAAUGAACAGUCUACGGAUGUUCUAAGUUGAUACCAUUUCAGGUAUACUUAAGAGACUACUAAUAAGAGUUAAACAAGGAAAAACCAUCACAUUUUCAAGAGAUGCGUACUUUCAAAACAGUCAGGUCUAGGUAAAAGACUACUUUCAAAACAUUCGAGUCUUGGUAGAAGACUACUUUUAUACUAGUAGGAAAUAUGGGAUUUUCUAGAGCUUUUCGUACUUAUACUAAAUGUUUCAUCAUUCAUUUACCAGUCUUUCAUAUCAACUAAUCAAAGCAAUGACAUUAAAUACUUAUGAACUCACCAGCUUAAAUGCUGAUCUACUCUUUCAAAAUAACUUGUAUUCUCAGGUUACAAAUAGACAGGUGUCGAUACAAGGUUCAGAGAAGACGGAGCAGUCAAGACUCGUCUUUUUUUUUUGAUAAGUUAUUAUCAUAUCAUGUACAAUGAAAGAAAACACUUGUAACUAAAAUUAUACUAUUGAUGCAAUGGAUGAUGUUGUUGCUUGUUUACUACUUUACAUUUGUUGUGAUGCAUACAUGACGUCCUCCGCCCCAGAACGUUUCCGCCGUUCGUGGUUUUGGGGUGUGACAGAACACUUAAGAAUUCAAAUGAUUUGCUAGUAAGAUCAAUUGAAUAAUUUUAGGAGCAUAAAAAUUAGAAUAGGGGUAAGAAUUGGGGAUUUAUAGGUACUAGAAAGCCAAAAGUACAAAACUUUAAAUUUCAAAAAUAUGGAAAUAAGUGGAGAGAAAACCGCCAAAGUAACACAUUAAAUGCAUGUCCAAUCUCAUGUCAG
rnacentral:lncRNA from 1 species